UGGCUUAGUGGAUGGGGUGCAUUAAACACAGCACAGCCAGCUGCGGCUGGCAAUUCUUCUGCUUUAUUUAGUGCUGGUGCAACCUCAUCUUAAAUACUGUGUGCAGUUCUGUGCUCCACAAUCUAGAGGGAAUGUUACGAUACUUGCAUGGAUGCAAAGGAAGGCAUCAAAGCUGGUAAAAGUGCUGGAAGGCAUGUGGUGUGAGGAGAAGCUGAAGAUGGUCUGGCUGGCUGGUAGGGAUGAACGGAGGUAACCUUCUUUGUCUCCAAAACUUUCCAAAGGGAAAUGGAGAGGGAGGUGCCAUUUACUUCUUCCUUGUCACAGAUGCAAGGACACAAAGGAACAGCACAGAGGAAAGAACGUAACAGAGCAGAGAUCUAUCAGAACCACCCAGGGUCAGAAAUGCAUCAGAGAGACCUCUUUGGGAAGAGACCAGAUGACAACAUACAACUAGAAAAGGCCUUUGAGGGCUUCCGCAGCAUACUUCUUCACCCUGAAGGUGCCAUAUGAGGCGACCACUAUGGUGACAGUGGUUGUAAGCAAAUCUCCAGUCAGAGGUCAAAUCAUAAAUCAUGCAACCGUGGUGCAUGGGCUGCAUCCCCCUGCAGGUAGCUCACAGAGUUCCUCUUCCCGCAGGUCUGGAGCUGCAGUGAGCAUAGAAGUGCAGCAAAGCCUUUCCCAGCUCAGCAGCAAGCACUGAAGGCACACGCCCACUGCUCUCCAGGAAGAUGGAGCGGCUGCAGUGGGAAUGGAGAGGAACGGGGAGCAGUGGUGCAGGAGUGCUGGGGUGCAAGUAGCACUUCCUAAAGGCAGUUGGGGUCCUGGUGAUGCUUCCUGCUGUGGGGCACCACUCAGCUCCUGCGGGGGUAGAGGCUACCUGGGGACACGGCAUCCUGGGGGCAGCUACAUCUCCUCCACCGGCAGUGCAGGUGCAGUGAUGCAGCUGGGUGCUGCUGCAGGUUGUGAGCAAGAAAUGGCAGAAGCUGCACAAGUGUGAUGUUCUCUGUCCUGCUAAGAGCAGUGUCGGUGGGACCCGGCACGUGGUGGAACCUUCCACUACCCCCAUCCCAGUUCGCUGCUCCCCUGGGCCCUGCGCAGCUCUGGAGCCCCUGCUUCUCCCCCAGCUCUUGGCUGAGGCUGAGGCUUCCCAGGGUGGUGCUACUUAUCAGCGGGCAGCCCUUUGGGACUGCAUGCAUUCUCCCAUGGGUGGGGGGAGAGCUGCAGUGCCGUCCCCCAUCCAGCCUGCUUUCCGGAGUGCAAACAACAGCAGAACAUCUACACUGAGAACAACAAUUUAUUUCCCAGGUGUUCCGGCAGAUAUGCUGGCAGCAUUGGGCACGGAUGGUCUUCUCUAAGUUCCUUAAAGACGAGACAACACGGAGGAAGA